UACGGAGGGGGCAAGCGUUGUUCGGAAUUACUGGGCGUAAAGGGCGCGCAGGCGGCUGCUCAAGUCAGGCGUGAAAGGCCUGGGCUCAACCCGGGAAUUGCGCUUGAGACUGGGCUGGCUUGAGUGCGGGAGAGGAUGGUGGAAUUCCCAGUGUAGAGGUGAAAUUCGUAGAUAUUGGGAAGAACACCGGUGGCGAAGGCGGCCAUCUGGACCGCAACUGACGCUGAGGCGCGAAAGCGUGGGGAGCGAUCGG
rnacentral:rRNA from 1 species